UACGAAGGGGGCUAGCGUUGUUCGGAAUUACUGGGCGUAAAGGGCUCGUAGGCGGCCAACUAAGUCAGACGUGAAAUCCCUCGGCUUAACCGGGGAACUGCAUCUGAUACUGGAUGGCUUGAAUCCGGGAGAGGGAUGCAGAAUUCCAGGUGUAGCGGUGAAAUGCGUAGAUAUCUGGAGGAAUACCGGUGGCGAAGGCGGCAUCCUGGACCGGCAUUGACGCUGAGGAGCGAAAGCCAGGGGAGCAAACGGG
rnacentral:rRNA from 1 species